rnacentral:rRNA from 1 species
UACGGAGGGUGCGAGCGUUGUCCGGAAUCACUGGGCGUAAAGGGCGCGUAGGUGGCUGGAGAAGUCAACGGUGAAAUCCCCGGGCUCAACCUGGGAACUGCGUUUGAAACUACAAGGCUAGAGUGUAGCAGAGGGGGGUGGAAUUCCACGUGUAGCAGUGAAAUGCGUAGAGAUGUGGAGGAACACCGAUGGCGAAGGCAGCCCCCUGGGUUAACACUGACGCUCAGGCACGAAAGCCAGGGGAGCAAACGGG